UUCUCUCUUUCUCUCUCUCUUUCUUUCGAGAGAGGUCCCCAGCACCUCCCCACCCCGACCCCCCAUCGUGUGUCUCUUAUUGACCUGGAGCUGCAUUGCAUGGUGACUCCGGAUCUGCUAGACCAGAGAACACGGCUGUUCAGAGGCCACUUUUGGAACUUGGGUUGGUCUAAAGGCUUCUCUUUGAAAGCUUGGAGAAGGUGACAGGUGAGAGCAGCUCGAGCCAGAGCUGUCUGGAGAGCCUGCACGCCUGGCUGACUUUCUUCUGCCACCUAGCGUUGGUCGAAAUUAAAGGAACUUCAAUAAGCUGGUUCUACAUCUGAAGAGUGGAGAUUUACCAGGUCGGCUGUGAUGUUACUGAAGCCCCAUGAGAUAACAUCUGGUGACAGAACAAGGCAAGUGCUCUGAUCACCAUGGACAGUUAUAUGUGGCUUUGGACAAUAUGCAGCCCAUGGUGGUUACAUGGUGAUUUGGGCAGCUCCUUGCAUGGAAAGCUCUUGGUCUUAGAGUUGCUCUUCUGGAAGAACAAGGAAUUAUUUGAAGAGCCCAAAUCUCAGUUGGUCUUGAUUGGUAUUUAUCAAUGAAAUGUCUUUGGGAGAAGGGCUCCAAGAGAGAACUACCUCAAAUAAAUUUCCCGUCUGCUUGCUGAUGCUUCAGGCAGGGCAUUCUUUACCCUAAUUAGACAAAGCUAAAAAAUGCAAUUAUGAAAAGUCAUACAUUCCCUCCAAGGGAAAAAACAAUUGAUUAGUAAAAUCUUUAAAGUCUUCAUUCAUACCAAAGACAGGCCAUCUUAGAUAAAUCCAUACUUUAUAAUCUAGUCACUAUUUGUAUAAAGAAGAAAAUAUCUUGAACAAAUGCCAAAUCCAUUACUUAUAUCAGAGUUAUUUGAUAUAUAUUUUUUAUGCCAAAAACACGGUAAAUCUGUUUCAAAUAAUGGAAGUUGUAAGGUCAACUUUUUAGUCCUAAAUAGUGUUUUCUAGUGUAGAGUUUUGGCAGAUAACCAUAGAGGAUAUAUAUACAGUUUUCCUUUUUCUUUUCUUUUUUUGUUUUAAAGACUUUAUUUAUUUAUUCAUGAAAGACACAGAGAGAAGGCAGAGACAUAGGCA